rnacentral:misc_RNA from 1 species
AAGAACCUUUGUGCCCAUGUGAUGCUUCCUCGCUCUUUGUACUCAGCGGAGGCGGCCCGAGCUCGAGCCAUCGCCAUUCUUACGAACAAAGUCACCAGACGCUACAGGAACAAAGGAGAACGAACUGUCGGGGAAGUCAAAAACCGGUCUAGGAAACUCAUCAAGCCCCCCAAAGUUGCACGAGUCGAAGUUCAUUGGUGAGUAGUAAGAACGGUCAUCUUCAAGCCCUUUGAUGUCUAGAUCAUUGACAUUCUCCAUGGUGUUUCCAGCAUAGUUACUAUAGCCCACAUUCCCCACUCCACUCAUCG